UUCUUCGAUUCGUGCGGUUUUUCCCGUUUAGGAUUUUGUUUUUACCCAUGGUCGCUUUCCUCGCGUGAUAAGAGAGAACUUUACCACAGUUAUACUUUAGUUACCUCAGCACUUUCCACACGCUGCUCUUUAUAUCUUCCCCUCUUUAUCUUCUCCGCUACCCCGACUGAUUACUGUUCUCUCCUGCUUUUGCCUGCCUGGAUCUAUGGAUAUCUUCCCCUCCCCCCUACCUCUUCUUCUUCUUCUUCUUGUUCUUUUCCUUCUUCUUCAUCGUCCUUUUUUUUCCCUGGUUCCUUCGCCGGCGACGCUGCCAUCGUUUGCUUCUUCUACUACUUUCCUACGCCCCUAAUCUGUGAUACAUUGGUUUUGUCUCGGGUUAUUAUUAACUUCAUCGUCUGCGCAAAAGAAGGAGAGGGGAGAAAAUGAACCGAAUUUAGCCUUAACUUAUAAUCUAUUUGUUUACUUGAUUUUUUUUAUUCGAUGAUAAUCUAUGAUUUGUUGGUUUCCUUGUAUUUUGCUUGCAGCGGAGAACAAGCUGAAGGAAUUGCUUACAACGUGCUUCCGUUAGACACAUUUGGUACAACAUCGUUUGUUUCUUCUGCUCCUUUCCUACGCCCCUAAUAUGCGAUUCAUUGGUUUUGUCUCGGGUUAUUAUUAACUUCAUCGUCUGCGCAAAAGAAGGAGAGGGGAAAAAAUGAACCGAAUUUAGCAUUUAUCUAUAAUGUAUUUGUUUACUUGAUUUUUUUAUUCGAUGAUAAUCUAUGAUUUGUUGGUUUCCUUGUAUUUUGCUUGCAGCGGAGAACAAGCUGAAGGAAUUGCUUACAGCGUCCUUCUGUUACACAGGUUAUUUGCUGUCCUGGCUUGUUACGUUGCUUCAUCAACGUGAAGCGAUCCACAGAGUCCCAUUGUGCUACCACGCUUUUUACGUCGCUUGAUCAACGUGAAGUAGCCCGCAGACUUCCAUUGUGCCACCACAGUUAGUCACUGUCGCAGCUUUUUACGUCGUUUUAUCAACGUGAAGUAGCCUGUAGACUUCCAUUGUGCCACCACAGAUCGCGACAUGCCGUUUGAUCUUCUCCCAACGUUGCAUCCAAAGUCCAAACAUUGGACAAUCUGUGCGCGUGUCUCACGCAAGUGGGAGUAUCGUGGUGGCACCGACAAUGGACCAAUAGCCCACAUUGACCUUGUUCUUAUAGAUGAACAGGGUAAUGCAAUAUAUGCUGAAUACCAAACUCAGAAAUAGAAAGGAAAGAUCCUUUGAUCCAAGAAGGUGGUAUCUACGUUAUGAGUCGCUUCAGAGUCUCAAAUUCCAAAAUCCUGUACAGGCCAGUUGAUGCACCAUAUAUGAUUGAAUUGACUUGCUACACUAAGAUAACUCCAGCGAGAGAUCCACCAGAAACAGAUAUGUCUACAAACUCACACCUUUUCUUGAACUACCUCAUUAUACUGGUGAAAACAAGAAUUUCCUGGAUGUGAUUGGCAUCGUCAUUGAAGUUUCAGACACAUCUCUCAUACAACUUGCAAAUCGGUCAACUCCUACUGUAAGCAGAGACAUCAUGCUUAAAGACCUCAAGUUAAACUGACACUGUGGGGACAGCGAGCCACGCAGUUUACCAUUGAUGAAUUUUAUAAUGAAAAACAAGCUACACCAAUUGUUAUUCUUGUGAUUGGCAAUCUCAUGAAAACUUUUGCAGGUGAAGAAUACCUAAGUGGAAAUGCGGCAUGCCACUGGUAUUUCAAUCCUUCAAUCCCAGAAGCUGAACCAUUCUACAACACGAAAAUGGAUACCGCUGCACUGUGACAAUUACUCGCUUAGUUCAAACCACAACAUGGUGGUUUGCAUCAUGCAAUAGAUGCAGUCGUGCUUGCACUCCAGAUGGCCCAGGAUAUAAAUGCACCACAUGUUCUUGCACAGGCUAUCGCUUCAAGUACUUGACACCUAUUCUUACUUCAUCUAUUUUUUGCUCAAUCAAAUUUACAACAAUCACUAAAAAACACAAUUACUAUUACUGCAUGUACAAAUUAUGCUUUGUAGCAAAUGACGGCACUGCUGAAGCUGAAAUGGUUGCUUUUGGUGAAGUUGGACGGUGCAUAGUUCGUAAACCAGUUCAGCAGGUCCUGAGAGCCAAAAGAAUUGCAAAUGACAUCCCACCGGACAUUGCAGCUAUAGUUUCACUGAAAUUCACCUUUGCAAUUUCCCUGACGAAUCAAAGUUACUACAGCCCGUAUAAAUCAUACCAGACACUUCCCCCUUUACUAGACUAUACUAAAUCAGCAUUCAAGAAAUCUCAACUUUGGGAUGCUGCUGAUGCCUCUAGCCACUCUGGUGCUAAAAGAAAGCUCUUUCGAGAAAGCCCAGAUGCAACAAAGGAAACCAAUAUAAGCUAUAAGAAGAGCAAAACCAGCAAUGCCAGAUUGAUAGAUGACCCACCACCACAAUCAACAAGCAAAAAAACCUCUUCUCAUCAGGUCACCUCUCCUGACUCAAAGCUGCUUGAACCAAAGGUUGAUGAAGCUCAGUAGCUACUUCACGUCACCUGCACAACACUGCUAACCAAUGUAGCUGCAGCAUUCACACACUGAAGAAGUAUUUGUCUUUUGCCACGAAAAGAAGCCAGUUUUUCUUUUGGACUGCUUUUGACCAUGUGUUGCCCAGCCUCAUGACAAAUCAGAAUGUAGAAAACCAUGUUACAUACUAUGCAUAACUGCCUCCUGUAUAUAAUGAUAUCAGUGUCAGUAUUAUCUAGAGUGCUAAGUGUCUGCACCCUACACUUAGACACAUGCCUGCUAAAAAAAUAUGAUACAAGCAGGCUAUGAUGUUAUAUUUACCUAGGCUCCAAGUAAUUACUGCAUAUCAACUUCCACCCAUCAGAUGUAUAUAUUGGAAACAUAACUACAGCUAUCUUUUGAAA